GACGAACCGUGCGAACGUUAUUCGGAAUCACUGGGCUUAAAGCGCGUGUAGGCGGGACGGCACGUCGGUCGCUGAAAGCCCCCGGCUCAACCGGGGAACGGGCGCCGAUACGACCGCCCUCGAGGGACGUAGGGGGACCUGGAACUUCCGGUGGAGCGGUGAAAUGCGUUGAGAUCGGAAGGAACGCCCGUGGCGAAAGCGAGGUCCUGGACGUCUGCUGACGCUGAGACGCGAAAGCCAGGGGAGCGAACGGG
rnacentral:rRNA from 1 species